rnacentral:rRNA from 1 species
GACGAACGCUGGCGGCGUGCUUAACACAUGCAAGUCGAACGGAAAGGCCCUGCUUUUGUGGGGUGCUCGAGUGGCGAACGGGUGAGUAACACGUGAGUAACCUGCCCUUGACUUUGGGAUAACUUCAGGAAACUGGGGCUAAUACCGGAUAGGAGCUCCUGCUGCAUGGUGGGGGUUGGAAAGUUUCGGCGGUUGGGGAUGGACUCGCGGCUUAUCAGCUUGUUGGUGGGGUAGUGGCUUACCAAGGCUUUGACGGGUAGCCGGCCUGAGAGGGUGACCGGCCACAUUGGGACUGAGAAACGGCCCAGACUCCUACGGGAGACAGCAGUGGGGAAUAUUGCACAAUGGGCGGAAGCCUGAUGCAGCAACGCCGCGUGCGGGAUGACGGCCUUCGGGUUGUAAACCGCUUUCGCCUGUGACGAAGCGUGAGUGACGGUAAUGGGUAAAGAAGCACCGGCUAACUACGUG